GACGAACGCUGGCGGCGUGCUUAACACAUGCAAGUCGAACGGCAAGGCCCUGCUUUUGUGGGGUGCUCGAGUGGCGAACGGGUGAGUAACACGUGAGUAACCUGCCCUUGACUUUGGGAUAACUUCAGGAAACUGGGGCUAAUACCGGAUAGGAGCUCCUGCUGCAUGGUGGGGGUUGGAAAGUUUCGGCGGUUGGGGAUGGACUCGCGGCUUAUCAGCUUGUUGGUGGGGUAGUGGCUUACCAAGGCUUUGACGGGUAGCCGGCCUGAGAGGGUGACCGGCCACAUUGGGACUGAGAUACGGCACGGAGUCCUACGGGAGGCGGCAGAGGGGAAUAUUGCACAAUGGGCGGAAGCCUGAUGCAGCAACGCCGCGUGCGGGAUGACGGCCUUCGGGUUGUAAACCGCUUUCGCCUGUGACGAAGCGUGAGUGACGGUAAUGGGUAAAGAAGCACCGGCUAACUACGUG
rnacentral:rRNA from 1 species